UUAAGACCUUCACUGGGAUCCAGCAGCAGUAACAAGAGUCCAGUGAGGGAUCAGGACUCAGACUCAGACGAUGACUAUGAUGAUGUGGAUAUCCCUACGAUGACACCUGGUUUCAUAAUGACAGCUAAUGAGACUCCACCUCCACUUCCACCAAAG